UCUGUCGGCACCCUGAACGCACCUGCUCUCAUCUUAUCUCGGAAGCUAAGCAGCGUUGGGCCUCGUUAGUACUCGGAUGGGAGAAAUCUGUCAUCAAUCAGAC
rnacentral:rRNA from 1 species